rnacentral:lncRNA from 1 species
GCUAAAGAAAGAGAUGGAAGAAUGAGUGAUGAAAGAGAAACAACAACUGAACUUGUGUUGUGUAUUUUAUACUGCUCAUCCUCUCCACUUCCUGUUCCCAGAUAGACAGUGGCUGACGAGAGCGCUUCUCCUUCCUCAUGUCCACUAUCAUCUCCUUGGUCUUGUCCGUGUUGAGGGUGAGGUUGUAUCACACUAUGUCAUCAGACUGGCCACCUCCCUCCCGUAGGCCGCUUCCUCUCCGCCAUUGAUACAUUCUAUCACUAGGCUGUCAUCUUCAGACUUCAGGAUGGUGUUGUCCUUGUGGGAGGCGACACAGUCGUGGGUCCUGGCUGAGGUCCUGUUCCCAAUCCUGACAGACUGAGGCCUGUCAGUCAAGAAGUCGAGCAGGCAGUCACAGAGGGUGGAGUAAAGUCCAAGGGAAAACAGUUUAUGGGUGAGCAUGUGGGGAAUGACCGUGUUAAAGUCUGAGCUGUAGUCGAUUGAAUGAAGAAAAAGAGAGGUUAUUUCCGUGGAAUUGCCGGAAGGAUUGAACGUGUCUCCCCGAGGAAAGAUACCUGUGCACUGACUUGCCUAAAAGUUAGGACGGAGGAGACUGACUCCUGAUUGGUGGAGAGAACAACGAAGUGAAUGGAAAAAGAGCAGCAUGCUGAGGUCUCAGCCACACCUGCCAAUGUGGACACACCAGCGGAGGGGGUAAGCUUUUUCAGAGUAUCUAUUGGUCACAUACUGUUGGUGCUGCAGCUAUGGUACAGACAUCUGGGGACUUCAACCACGCGAACCCCAAGAGUGUGCUUCCACAUCUUCAUGGCCACAUCAAGUUUCCCACUAGAGGACUCGGUUGAAGAUCGCAUUCUUCGUGAUUGCAGACAUGCAGCAUAGUGGGUUGAGGCCAAAAAAAAAAAAAACUGUUGUGUGCCAAAGUGGACCUGGUGAUCUGAUGUCUGUCCAUGGGGGAGGAGAAACAGGUUGCUGUGGAAAGAAGAACUGGAUGAAGAGGAAAAUGAAGCAAUCCUGGAGCCCUUCAAGUUCCAAUUUUACAACACAGAUGACAGGUGGAAAUUCUGCAAAGAAAUAAUGGACCAAAGAAACUAUUUGGCCUACUGUGAAUGUCACAUAGAUGAGUGAGUUUUUGUUUGGGAAUAAAGGGCUUCAGAACAUUUGAUCA